GUGAUGCCCCGGAAGCCCGGGCGGGCCGUCGCUGCGUCACGCUGCUCGCCCGCGGGCGCCCGCCCUUGCGCGCACGUCUUGGCGCCGGGUUGCCAGCGGUGUCCGGCUAGCAGGGACCGCCGCGGGGGGUGCAACCGUCGUCCUGAGCCGUCCGCCGCGUCCCGGGUGAGCGGGCAUGCAUGGCUUCGUCCUUGGGGAGAGCGUCGCGCUCCGGCAGGAUCGACCGGAUGA
rnacentral:rRNA from 1 species